AAUACAAAUAAGAACAACUCUAUUUAAUAUAUAAGCUCCGCCCCUCACUUCCUGUGGCCGCAGGUUUGGCGCCAGAGUGGAGCUGCGGGGUGCUCCUCGGUGCAGCAGGAUAUCGCUCUUCACUUCAGGAUAAGCCUCAUGGGCAGCCUGGAGAUCAGGUCAUCCUCGUUGCCUGAGUACAUGCUCUCAGGGAUUGCAUAGACCACGGAGUCACUCGUGAGAAAGUGGCAUGUGUCGUGGAUCUCAGAGACACCGAUUAUUUCCACUUCGGUUUCUUGGACCUGCCCCAUAGCAAUCUAGGUGUAUGUGGAGGACUGAAAUUUUCCCCGGCCGUCGUUGAGGAUGCAGGGACGAAGAUGGGUAAUGACCACAUCGUCACCUGCAUACAGGUCCCUCAGGGCCUCAUCCCUCCACAACGAUACCUCAAAAACUUUUUC